GUAGUCCACGCCCUAAACGAUGAUCACUGGACGUUGGGAGGAAUCAGCCUCUUAGUGUCGAAGCUAACGCGUGAAGUGAUCCGCCUGGGGAGUAUGCGCGCAAGCGUGAAACUCAAAGGAAUUGACGGGGGCCCGCACAAGCGGUGGAGUAUGUGGUUUAAUUCGAUGCAACGCGAAGAACCUUACCUGGUCUUGACAUCCACGGAAUCCUGUAGAGAUAUGGGAGUGCCGCAAGGAACCGUGAGACAGGUGCUGCAUGGCUGUCGUCAGCUCGUGUCGUGAGAUGUUGGGUUAAGUCCCGCAACGAGCGCAACCCUUGCCCUUAUUUGCCAGCACGUAAUGGUGGGAACUCUAAGGGGACUGCCGGUGACAAACCGGA
rnacentral:rRNA from 1 species